rnacentral:rRNA from 1 species
UGGGGGAUAUUGCACAAUGGGCGAAAGCCUGAUGCAGCGACGCCGCGUGGGGGAUGAAGGCUUUCGGGUUGUAAACCUCUUUCGCUAUCGAACAAGGCCCGCUUAGGGUGGGUUGAGGGUAGGUGGAGAAGAAGCGCCGGCUAACUACGUGCCAGCAGCCGCGGUAAUACGUAGGGCGCGAGCGUUGUCCGGAAUUAUUGGGCGUAAAGGGCUUGUAGGCGGCUUGUUGCGCCUGCUGUGAAAACGCGGGGCUUAACUUCGCGCGUGCAGUGGGUACGGGCAGGCUUGAGUGUGGUAGGGGUGACUGGAAUUCCAGGUGUAGCGGUGGAAUGCGCAGAUAUCUGGAGGAACACCGAUGGCGAAGGCAGGUCACUGGGCCAUUACUGACGCUGAGGAGCGAAACCAUGGGUAGCGAACAGG